rnacentral:rRNA from 1 species
GGUUGCGAUCAUACCAGCACUAAUGCACCGGAUCCCAUCAGAACUCCGCAGAUAAGCGUGCUUGGGCGAGAGUAGUACUAGGAUGGGUGACCCCCUGGGAAGUCCUCGUGUUGCAACCC